AGAGCGAACGCUGGCGGCGUGCUUAACACAUGCAAGUCGAACGCGCAGCAUUCUGUAGCAAUACAGGGUGUGGGCGCGUGGCGUACGGGUGAGUAACACGUGGAUCAUCUACCUUCUAGUGGGGAAUAACUUUGGGAAACCGAAGCUAAUACCGCAUAAGCUCGAGAGAGGAAAGCAGCAAUGCGCUGGAAGAGGAGUCCGCGGCCGAUUAGCUAGUUGGUAGGGUAAAAGCCUACCAAGGCUACGAUCGGUAGCCGGCCUGAGAGGGCACACGGCCACACUGGCACUGAAACACGGGCCAGACUCCUACGGGAGGCAGCAGUGGGGAAUCUUGCACAAUGGGGGAAACCCUGAUGCAGCGACGCCGCGUGAGCGAUGAAGCCCUUCGGGGUGUAAAGCUCUUUCGGCGAGGGAAGAUUAUGACGGUACCUGCAGAGCAGCUGCGCUACUACGCGCCAGCAGCCGCGGUAAU
rnacentral:rRNA from 1 species